CCUACGGGCGGCAGCAGUGGGGAAUAUUGGGCAAUGGGCGCAAGCCUGACCCAGCAACGCCGCGUGAAGGAAGAAGGCUUUCGGGUUGUAAACUUCUUUUAUUGUGGACGAAACAAAUGACGGUACUCAAUGAAUAAGCCACGGCUAACUACGUGCCAGCAGCCGCGGUAAUACGUAGGUGGCAAGCGUUAUCCGGAUUUACUGGGUGUAAAGGGCGUGUAGGCGGGACUGCAAGUCAGCGGUAAAAGCCCGGGGCUCAACCCCGGCGAGCCGUUGAAACUGUCGGACUAGAGACGGCGAGAAGUACGCGGAAUGCGCGGUGUAGCGGUGAAAUGCAUAGAUAUCGCGCAGAACUCCGAUUGCGAAGGCAGCGUACCGGCGCCGGACUGACGCUGAGGCACGAAAGCGUGGGUAUCGAACAGGAUUAGAUACCCCUGUAGUC
rnacentral:rRNA from 1 species